AACGCACAUUGCGCCCCUUGGCAUUCCGGGGGGCAUGCCCGUUCGAGCGUCAUGUAAAAACCUCAAGCCUGGCUUGGUAUUGGGCCCCGGGACCAACCCGGACCUCAAAUGCGUCGGCUAUUGGGAGUGCUGUAGCAGGUGCCGUAACCACACUUACUGGCGCGCGGCUCGCACGGCCCGCCUUACGCGUUCGCAUCGGUCGUCGACCGAACACACAAGUUUGACCUCGGAUCGGGUAGGAAUACCCGCUGAACUUAA
rnacentral:misc_RNA from 1 species